rnacentral:snRNA from 8 species
AUACUUACCUGGCAAGGGAGACACCGUGAUCAAGAAGGCGGUUCACCCAGGGCGAGGCUCAGCCAUUGCACUCCGGCUGUGCUGACCCCUGUGAAUUUCCCAUAUGUGGAAAUCUCGAUUGCAUAAUUUCUGGUAGUGGGGGACUGCGUUCGCGCUCUCCCCUG